rnacentral:rRNA from 1 species
AUACGGAGGGUGCAAGCGUUAAUCGGAAUUACUGGGCGUAAAGCGCGCGUAGGCGGCUAAUUAAGUCAAAUGUGAAAUCCCCGAGCUUAACUUGGGAAUUGCAUUCGAUACUGGUUAGCUAGAGUGUGGGAGAGGAUGGUAGAAUUCCAGGUGUAGCGGUGAAAUGCGUAGAGAUCUGGAGGAAUACCGAUGGCGAAGGCAGCCAUCUGGCCUAACACUUACGCUGAGGUGCGAAAGCAUGGGGAGCAAACAGGAUUAGAAACCCCGGUAGUCC